rnacentral:rRNA from 1 species
GCCCAUAAGACUGGGAUAACUCCGGGAAACCGGGGCUAAUACCGGAUAACAUUUUGAACUGCAUGGUUCGAAAUUGAAAGGCGGCUUCGGCUGUCACUUAUGGAUGGACCCGCGUCGCAUUAGCUAGUUGGUGAGGUAACGGCUCACCAAGGCAACGAUGCGUAGCCGACCUGAGAGGGUGAUCGGCCACACUGGGACUGAGACACGGCCCAGACUCCUACGGGAGCCAGCAGUAGGGAAUCUUCCGCAAUGGACGAAAGUCUGACGGAGCAACGCCGCGUGAGUGAUGAAGGCUUUCGGGUCGUAAAACUCUGUUGUUAGGGAAGAACAAGUGCUAGUUGAAUAAGCUGGCACCUUGACGGUACCUAACCAGAAAGCCACGGCUAACUACGUGCCAGCAGCCGCGGUAAUACGUAGGUGGCAAGCGUUAUCCGGA